AUUGAACGCUGGCGGCAGGCCUAACACAUGCAAGUCGAACGGUAACAGGAAGCAGCUUGCUGCUUUGCUGACGAGUGGCGGACGGGUGAGUAAUGUCUGGGAAACUGCCUGAUGGAGGGGGAUAACUACUGGAAACGGUAGCUAAUACCGCAUAACGUCGCAAGACCAAAGAGGGGGACCUUCGGGCCUCUUGCCAUCGGAUGCGCCCAGAUGGGAUUAGCUAGUAGGUGGGGUAACGGCUCACCUAGGCGACGAUCCCUAGCUGAUCUGAGAGGAUGACAGGCCACACUGGAACUGAGACAGGGUCCAGACUCCUACGGGAGGCAGCAGUGGGGAAUAUUGCACAAUGGGCGCAAGCCUGAUGCAGCCAUGCCGCGUGUAUGAAGAAGGCCUUCGGGUUGUAAAGUACUUUCAGCGGGGAGGAAGGGAGUAAAGUUAAUACCUUGGCUCAUUGACGUUACCCGCAGAAGAAGCACCGGCUAACUCCGUG
rnacentral:rRNA from 1 species